GGGCUUCAAGACUUGCUUCCUUAGAUCAUCAACCAACUAGGCCCUGAUAAUUUAGAGAACUUGAGGCGGAUUGCAGAACAGUUCCAGAAACAAGCAUCUAGCUCUGCUGCUGCUUCUGGCUAUGCAAAGGGUGAAGAUGAUGACGAGGAUGUCCCGGAGCUUGUUCCUGGAGAGACAUUUGAGGCAGCUGCCGAGGAGAAACAAGCUCCGCAGACUUAAGACCCGAGAGCAGUUUUAUUAGUCAGCACUCAACACUCUUGUAACGUUGCUUUAUGAUGAUUUUAUGAGUCAUCUACUCCAGAUUUUUAUUAGCAAAACAAUUCUGUUGAGAUCGUGUUCCCUUUCUUGCUUGAGAUGUACUGAGUGUAUGAGUUCAUAUGAAGAUAUGCAGUUUGUUCUUUCUAA